GGCACAGCUGCUCCCAUUAUCAUCCACUGUGGUUCCAGUUGUUCCCAUUUACCCCCACUGUGGUUUCAGUCUCUCCCAGUGUAUCCCAGUUGCUCCCACCAUGUUCCCAGUCACUCCAGUUGUCCUCAAUUGCUUCCAGCCUGAUCCCAGUUGCUCCAAGUAAGAUCCAGUAGGAUCCCAGUUGCCCCCAGCAUGCUUUCAGUUGCUUCCUGUUCUCCCCAGUGUGAUCCCAGUUGCCCCCAGUUGUCCCUUGUAUCAACCCCAUCACUCCCCAUAUGAUCCCAGUUGCUCCCAGCAUGGUCCCAGUCAUGCCCAGUUGUCCCCGGUGUAGACCCACUCACUUCCACUCGCUCUCAGUUCUCCCCAGCAUGGUCCCCGUUGUUCCCAGUGUGUUCCCAGUCACCCCAGUAAGGUUACAGACAUCCCCAGUAAAUCCCAGUUGCCUUCAGCAUCUCUGUGGUCAUUCCCAGACACUCCCAGUGAUCCCAGUAAGGUGCUUGUUAUCCCAGUAUGAUCUCAGUCAUGCCCAGUAUGUCCCAGUUGUCUCCAGCCUGCAUCCAGUCAUUCCCAAUUCCUCCAGUUUGCUUGCAGCAUGAUCCCAGUUUUUCUCAGUUGCUCCCAGUAGCCCAAAGUGGGAUCCCAGUUGCUUCCUUUCAUCACCAGUAUGAGCCCAGUAACCUCCAGUAUGAUCCUUGUCACAUGCCAGCACUCCCAGUAUGGUCCCAGUAUAAUCCCAGUAACUUCCAAUCACUCGCAGUAUGGUCCCAGUUGCCUCCAGCUACAUCAGCCCAGUCAAUCCCAGUAUGAUGCCAUUUGCUCCCAGAGUGCUCCAAGUUGCUCCCAGUCACCCCCAGUACAGGGAUGCUGUGCAUGGUGUGUUCCCAGUCACUCUCAGACACUCCCAGUAUUAGUCCAGUCCCUCCCAGUAUGAUCCAGAGAUGACGCCAGUGUGCUCCCAGUCAGUGCCAAUAUGAACCAGUUGUGCUCCACAUGGUUCCAGUUGCCCCUUUCACCCUCACUGUCCCUCCCAGUCUCUCACAGUGUCCCCCAGUUCCUUCCAGCAUAUUCCCACUCACUCCCAGUUCCUUCCAGCGCGAUCCCAUUUGCUCACAACCGCUCCCAGUCAGCCUCAGUGUCGUGGCACUCACUGCCAGUAUGAUCCCAGUCACCUCCAGCAUGAUCCCAGUAUAAGCCCAGUCGUUUCCAGUCAUCCCCAGCAGGCACCCAGUGACUCCCAGUUCCUCCCAGUUGCUCCUAGCAUGAUCCCAGUUGCUCACAGCUGCUCCCAGUCACCCUCAUCAUGCUCCCAGUCACUCCCAGUAUAUCCCAUUUGCCCCCAGCAUGGUCUCAGUUGGCCCCCGUAGGCUCCUACUCUGUGUCAGUAUGAUCCCAGUACGAUCCCAGUCUCCCUCGGGGUGACUGCAGUCUGCCCUGGCAUGGGCCCAGCUGCUCCCAGUAUGAUUCCAGUACAAUCCCAGUACAAACCAGUCCUUCCCAGUGCUGCCACUCCUGGCAUCCCCGAGCCCUCUCUGCGUUCCCCCCUCCUGAUCUCCUGAGAGGAGCCCCAAGGGCCGGCAGUGCCCAGGCAGGGUCCCCAGGCAGCCCCAGUUUGGAUGUGCAGCCCCCAGUUUCCCCAGUUUGCCUCUCCUUUGGCCCGGGCCGGGUUCCCCCUGGAACAGCGGCUGGGAGCAGCCGAGAGCCCCGCGCUGCCCAUCCCGACCUGUCCCGGCUCCAUCCCCGCUCCUGCCGCGGGCUGCCGGGGCUGCGGGAA
ensembl:lncRNA